rnacentral:rRNA from 1 species
AUUAAAAUCAAACCUGGCCCAAUGGCUAAUGUCAAUGGGCCGCGGGUAUUUUAACUGUGCAAAGGUAGCAUAAUCAUUAGUCUUUUAAUUUGAGACUGGAAUGAAUGGUUUAACUAAUUAAUUUUGUCUCAUUUUAAUACUUUGAAUUUUAUAUUUUAGUAAAAAAGCUAAAAUUUUCUUUAAAGACGAGAAGACCCUAUCAAGCUUUAUAAUUAGUUUUUAUACUCAAAAUAAAUUUAAAAUUAUUUUACUGGGGCAGUAAAUGAAAAAUUUUCAUUUAAUUAUUUUGAUAAAUUUAUCUUGUUAAACCAAAAAUUUUUUAAAAAAUAAUAAGUUACUGUAGGGAUAACAGCAUAAUUUUUUUAAAGAGAUCUUAUCAUCAAAAAAGUUUGUGACCUCGAUGUUGGAUUAAGAUACCUAAUUUACGCAAUAGUUAAAUAAGGGAGUCUGUUCGACUUUUAAAAUCUUCCAUGAUCUGAGUCAAAACCGGGAGAG